AUACUUACUUGGCGUAGAGGUUACUGCGAUCAUGAAGGCAGUUCCUCCGGAGCGAUGCUCUUCCAUUGCACUGAGGAAGAAUUGACCUCUGCAAGUAUCCCUAAUGUGGAUAGCUCGUACGUGAAAUUUUUGAUAGUCGGGAUUGCGUUCGCGCUUUCCCGG